AUCCAGUCCAUGGAGGAAGGCUCCCUCCAAAGAAAGGCCUCCUGUCAUCAGCGUGCACACACCUCCAUGAUUUAUGAGCCAUCUGUCACGUCUGAUGUUCCUGUCGCCUCAGACAGGAUGUGCAAGCCUGGCAUGCGGAGACGCUCUGCGCGGGCACCGCAUGGGCACAGCAUGGUUAGGUCCACUGUAAUUAAAUUACAACCAAAUGUGCACCCAGAAGUCCCGAUGAUCCUAACAUCACAAAACAAAAGACAUUGGUGGAGAAAAUCAAAUGGUUAGGAAUGUUUGAUGUUGUCAGAGAUCCAAGAUAUUCUACACAGAAUUGGACUCGAAUAUUUCAAAACUAAUACCUCAUUGACCAACACAAUCUCACACUGCAAAUAUGUAAAAAAAAAAAAAAAAAAAGUAUUUCAACAGAUUUCGUGCAUUUAUGUGUGGAUUCAUUUGUGUGAGAAUUGUUGUGUGAUUGAUUGAUAGGUAGGUGAUAGGUGAUUGAUAGGAAAAUACAUUUUUUUGAGGGCAAACUUUGGAACAAUCUUUUGAAAGUUAUUAGAGCAAUGCAUGAUUGGCAUUGGUGUUGUUUGACACUGACAUUUUUUUGUAUCCCACAUUUAUUUAUAUAUACAGUACCAGUCAAAAGUUUAGACACCUACUCAUUCAAGGGUUUUUCUUUAUGUUUAUUAUUUUCUACAUUGUCGAAUAAUAGUGAAGACAUCAACACUAUUAAAUAACACAUAUGGAAUCAUGGAGUAAAACCAAAAAAAGUGUUAAACAAAUGUAUUUUAUAUUUGAAAUUCUACAAAGCAGCCACCCUUUGCCUUGUUGACAGCUUUGCACAUUCUUGGCAUCCUCUCAACCAGCAUCAUGAGGUAGUUACCUAGAACACAUUUCAAUUAACAGGUGUGUCUUGUUAAAAGUUAAUUUAAUGUGUUUGAGCCAAUCAGUAGUGUUGUGGCAAGGUAGUGUUGGUAUAUAGAAGAUAGCUCUAUUUGGAUAAAGACCAAGUCCAUUUUAUGGCAGGAAAAGCUCAAAUAAGUAAAGAGAAAUGACAGUCCAUCAUUAAAUCAAAUCAAGUUAAACCAUAUUUGUCACAUGAGCCAAAUACAACAGGUGUAGGUAGACCUUACUAUGAAAUGCUUACUAAAAAGCCCUUACGGAUUAGCCCCUUUUUAGAAUUUUUAGCCUAAAAUGACAAACCCAAAUCAGACUGCUUGUAGCUCAGGCCCUGAAGCAAAAAUAUGCAUGUUCUUGGU
ensembl:lncRNA